CUUACAUAAGCUGUGGGAUUUGUCGUACAAACAGUAAGAUUUAUCGUUUCCUUGUAAAUAAUAGUACACACUAGUCUGACAAUAGAAAGAUAAGCAUUUGAAUGAAGUCUUGGCAAGAAUAUCCUGAGAUCGGACUUGGGCAAGAACAUCCUGAGAUUGAGCAAUGUCGCACAUCCUCUAGAAGGAAGAAUGUUAUUGUUUAAGUCUUGCCACAUUUAGCAUAAUUAUGUCAUACAUUAUUUUAAAGCAUACAAAGCAAAAAGAGUUUUAACUGUUUCAUGUCAUUUCAGUCAGCAAUAAUGAUUAUAAA